ACACGUAGGAGGCAAACGUUAUCCGGAUUUACUGGGCGUAAAGCGCGUGUAGGUGGUUCGUUAAGUAGGGCGUGAAAGCUCCUGGCUCAACUAGGAGAGGCCGUUCUAAACUGGCGAACUUGAGUGUGGCAGAGGAAGAUGGAAUUCCGGGUGUAGCGGUAAAAUGCGCAGAUAUCCGGAGGAACACCAGUGGCGAAAGCGAUCUUCUGGGCCAAUACUGACACUCAGACGCGAAAGCUAGGGUAGCAAACGGGAUUAGAGACCCCGGUAGUCCUAGCCCUAAACGAUGUAGACUAGGUGUCGGCUGCUUAAUCGCAGUCGGUAUCCAAGCUAACGCGAUAAGUCUACCGCCUGGGGACUACGGCCGCAAGGUUAAA
rnacentral:rRNA from 1 species